UCUCGCCUUCACAAUAUGUAUUUUUACUAGGUUGUGGAACAAUAUUAGUGGUUUCAUUAAGCACCUAUUCAUUACCAUCCAUUUUUACACCUUCAAAUUUGGUUUCUUGUGAGUUUACACCAUCAGAUUCGGUCUCUUAUGAAUUUACACCAUCAUCGCCUUGCACCUUCAGUCCCGUCGCCGCCGCCCUACCCCGCCGCCCACGCCACCAGAGUACACCUUCAGUCCUGUCGCCACCGCCCACGCCCACGCCACCGGAGUACGUUUCAGUUUGGUACUGUUUUGAACACCAAGGAUGCUGCUGAAAAUGCCAAAAAUGUUGGAGCAAAGUUCAUCAUGAGUCCGAAUGUAAACAUAGAUGGUGUGCAUUGUGACCAAGUCAUGUGUUUUUCUUGUUGGGACUCAGCAGUAAUGUUUUACAAUAGUAAAGGCAUACUUCUGUUUAGUUUUAGUUUUUUUAAAUGUAAAUCAUUUGCAGGGCAUUCUGAAUGAGAACAACGAUGACAA